rnacentral:sRNA from 1 species
AUUUUCAGUAUAUAUAU